rnacentral:rRNA from 1 species
CCUACGGGCUGCAGCAGUAGGGAAUCUUCCGCAAUGGACGAAAGUCUGACGGAGCAACGCUGCGUGAGUGAUGAAGGCUUUCGGGUCGUAAAACUCUGUUGUUAGGGAAGAACAAGUGCUAGUUGAAUAAGCUGGCACCUUGACGGUACCUAACCAGAAAGCCACGGCUAACUACGUGCCAGCAGCCGCGGUAAUACGUAGGUGGCAAGCGUUAUCCGGAAUUAUUGGGCGUAAAGCGCGCGCACGUGGUUUCUUAAGUCUGAUGUGAAAGCCCACGGCUCAACCGUGGAGGGUCAUUGGAAACUGGCAGACUUGAGCGCAGAAGAGGAAAGUGGAAUUCCAUGUGUAGCCGUGAAAUGCGUAGAGAUAUGGAGGAACACCAGUGGCGAAGGCGACUUUCUGGUCUGUAACUGACACUGAGGCGCGAAAACGUGGGGAGCAAACAGGAUUAGAUACCCGAGUAGUC